rnacentral:ncRNA from 1 species
ACAGUACAAGCUGAGCAGGCAAUAUCUGUCAGACUGCUGGCAGGAUAUGUGGCCGGGUCGCAUGAGCGGCAGCAGAAGAAGCCAGAAGUGCAUCUGCGGGACAGUG